AGGUAACUGCUAUCGGUUGGUCGCAUAAGCCAUGCGAGUCAUAUGUUCUUGGAUGAACAGGGAGUACUGCUCAGUAACAGGGUGGAUACGCUGCCCUUGUGCUCGCGGCAUACCCGCGAGAAACUGGGGAUAUCUCAGGAUAACGCACAUAUGGGGGAAUGUUUUAUGUGUCAAAUGGAUUGGUCCGCCCAAGGAUGUGUCUGCGGCUUAUCAGGUAGUAGUGGGUGUAAUGUACAUACUAGCAUACGACGGGUACGGGUUGUGAGAGCAAGAGCCCGGAGAUGGAUUGUGAGACAUGAAUCCAGGCCUUACGGGGCGCAGCAGGCGAGAAAACUUUACAAUGCGGGAAACCGUGAUAGGGGGACACCGAGUGCCAGCAUCAUAUGUGGGCUGUCCGGGUGUGUAAAAUACACCUGUUAGCAAGGCCCGGGCAAGACCGGUGCCAGCCGCCGCGGUAACACCGGCGGCCCGAGUGGUGAUCGUGAUUAUUGGGUCUAAAGGGUCCGUAGCCGGUUUGGUCAUUCCUCCGGGAAAUCUGGCGGUUUAACCGUUAGGCUUUCGGGGGAUACUGCCAGACUUGGAACCGGGAGAGGUAAGAGGUACUACAGGGGUAGGAGUGAAAUCUUGUAAUCCCUGUGGGACCACCUGUGGCGAAGGCGUCUUACCAGAACGGGUUCGACGGUGAGGGACGAAGGCUGGGGGCACGAACCGGAUUAGAUACCCGGGUAGUCCCAGCCGUAAACGAUGCUCGCUAGGUGUCAGGCAUGGCGCGACCGUGUCUGGUGCCGCAGGGAAGCCGUGAAGCGAGCCACCUGGGAAGUACGGCCGCAAGGCUGAAACUUAA
rnacentral:rRNA from 1 species